rnacentral:ncRNA from 1 species
UGUUGUUGCCAUGGUAAUCCUGCUCAGUACGAGAGGAACCGCAGGUUCAGACAUUUAGUGUAUGUGCUUGGCUGAGGAGCCAAUGGGGCGAAGCUACCAUCUGUGGGAUUAUGACUGAACGCCUCUAAGUCAGAAUCCCGCCCAGGCGGAACGAUACGGCAGCGCCGCGGAAUCCUCGGUUGGCCUCGGAAUCCUCGGUUGGCCUCGGAUAGCCGGUCCCCCGCCGUCCCCGCCGGCGGGCCGUCGCCCGCGUCCCCCGGGGCGCGGCGCGGCGCGCCCCGCCGCGCGUCGGGACCGGGGUCCGGUGCGGAGAGCCCUUCGUCCCGGGACACGGGGCGCGGCCGGAAAGGCGGCCGCCCCCUCGCCCGUCACGCACCGCAUGUUCGUGGGGCGCCUGGUACUAAACCAUUCGGAGACGACCUGCUUCUGGGUCGGGGUUUCGUACGUAGCAGAGCAGCUCCCUCGCUGCGAUCUAUUGAAAGUCAGCCCUCGACACAAGGGUUU